rnacentral:rRNA from 1 species
GACGAACGCUGGCGGCGUGCUUAACACAUGCAAGUCGAACGGGAUUUAGUAAACAGAAACCUCGGUGGAAGAUUACUAAUGAGAGUGGCGAACGGGUGAGUAACGCGUGAGCAACCUGCCUAUGACAGUGGGAUAGCCUCGGGAAACCGGGAUUAAUACCGCAUAAAAUCGUAGAAACACAUGUUUUAACGGUCAAAGAUUUAUCGGUCAUAGAUGGGCUCGCGUCUGAUUAGCUAGUUGGUGAGAUAACAGCCCACCAAGGCGACGAUCAGUAGCCGGUCUGAGAGGAUGAACGGCCACAUUGGAACUGAGACACGGUCCAAACUCCUACGGGAGGCAGCAGUGGGGAAUAUUGCACAAUGGGGGAAACCCUGAUGCAGCGACGCCGCGUGAACGAAGAAGGUAUUCGUAUCGUAAAGUUCUGUCCUAUGGGAAGAUAAUGACAGUACCAAAGAAGAAAGCUCCGGCUAAAUACGUG